GCUAGAGAAAGCAUAAGGCCAACAGGUUUAGUGUCUGAAGAAACGCUGUAAAGUUAAGCGCUUUAUGGACGUGAAAACGAAGCUUCAAUCGUUUACUUUUAUCAAAAGACAGACCAAGUUCCACGAUCAAAGGAAGGACUUAACAGGGAAAGCAAGAUUAGAGAGCAAUGGUAGGACCUCUACGUAGGAAGGAGAGUGUCUCGAUAUGCUGGAAAUGGCGGCUAAAAUAUCUUCAACUCGCAACCUUACACUCUUAGGAACGGAAACAGACUGCACAAUGCAGUAGAUGUACGGAAAGACAGGGUGGUCACGUCGGAAACUGGGACACAGCAACAACAAUAGCAACAAAAAUAACAACAACAACAACAAGUGCUGAGGUGAAUGAACGGCUGUCAUUGACAUGAAAGUAGGAAGCCAAUACGAAAACGAAGAAUUCGGUUUCAUAUGAAAUGAUUCAAGGAUCCCGUCUUCAGCUUCAAUGAAUGCUUCAAUACAGGACUGGAGUCUUUGACAUGCUUGCACUAAAUCUUCCUUGUUCAUUUCGGACAUCAUCCGGAAUCGAUUAGUCUCCCUGGCGAGCUUCGAAGCCACAAGUUUGGUGUUAAAUGAUCGUAAAGAUUGUCUGACAUCUGACAUAUUGUCUGACAUCUGACAUAUUGUCUGACAUCUAUAUCUGGUGUAUGCGAGUUUUCUGAAUAGGAACCGAGACUUGUUGAGAUAUGUAUGGCUUUUCAUUGGUGCACUUCAUCUAUCCAGGGCUUAACAACUGUCUCCAGCACCUCCACGUAUCCAGCAGCAUAAAUUCUAAGACUUUGUGGAAUAUAGAUUUAACUGUAGAUCGAUUUGAUUAUUAAUGAUAUAAAAACACAUAUAUAUUUAUUUAUUUGCUCAAAAUAAUAGAGCACUUAAUAUAAGUUCAGUAACAUAUUCUUUUAGAAUAUUCCUUAUAAAAUUUAUAUAUAUAUAUAUAUAUAUAUAUAAACCACACUUAAAUAAUUCAACAAAGAAGAAUUCAACUCACACCCCACAGAAAACCAGAAAACAAACAUAUCACAAAAACCUUAUUCAAAAAAUCAAUAAAAUACAAAAAGAAUAACUAGUAAAUGGUAUAAAAUGAGUACGUACGUUUCGUGGGUAUAUUUUCAAAUAGAUAACUACUAAAACCAAUUCAAUAAAUAAUUCUAUUAAUUAUCAAAUCGAUCUACAGUUAAAUCUAUUCAAAAAUAUAGUCACUCGUCAGGUCUAAAAUAAAAAUAAUAAUAAUAAAA